GUGAGUACUGUCCCCUGUCAGCUCCCUCUUCAGCUCCCUCGCGCACCGCGUACUGAUUCCAGAGCCGGAAGAUGGUAUCAUCUUCCGGCUCCGGUAUCAGUGCGGUGCGCGAGGGAGCUGAAGAGGGAGCUGAAGAGGGAGCUGAAGAGG